CGAUGCUACUCAUCUACUCCUCUACCACCACAACACCACUGGGGGCAGCAUACAUGAUCCAGUAUCCCACAGAACCACAACAAACACUGCUCAGAGGAUGGAGAGCCAUGGCCAGGAGAAGAUGACCUGCAUGAGGUCCUGCUCUGAGUCUCUGAGAGCCAGCCGGCCUCAGCAUGGACCAGGGCACCUUCACACCUGGCUGGCUGUCAACUCUUAACUGUGUUUGUGUGUGUGUGCACGUGUUUACAUGCUUGUGUGUGUGUAUGAGUGGAUUCAUAUGUGUGAGUGUACAUGUGCAUAGAAUAGCACACUUCCGUGUGUUGUAUUUCCACCCCUAAAAAAUAAACAUUUUGAAAGAAGAGUCUUUUCGAAUGUUGUUUAAGCCUGAUGGCUGUUUUAUCUGUGCAUAUCAUCCAGAUAGACCAUGACCUUCA